UACAGAGGUCCCAAGCGUUGUUCGGAUUCAUUGGGCGUAAAGGGUGCGUAGGCGGCUUUGAAGGUGGGGUGUGAAAGCCCACGGCUCAACCGUGGAAUUGCGCUCCAAACCGCAAGGCUUGAGGAAGACAGAGGUGAGCGGAACUGAUGGUGGAGCGGUGAAAUGCGUUGAUAUCAUCAGGAACACCCGUGGCGAAGGCGGCUCACUGGGUCUUAUCUGACGCUGAGGCACGAAAGCUAGGGGAGCGAACGGG
rnacentral:rRNA from 1 species